rnacentral:rRNA from 1 species
UACGUAGGGUGCGAGCGUUGUCCGGAAUUACUGGGCGUAAAGAGCUCGUAGGCGGCUUGUCGCGUUGUUCGUGAAAAUUUACCGCUCAACGGUGAACUUGCGGGCGAUACGGGCAGGCUAGAGUACUGCAGGGGAGACUGGAAUUCCUGGUGUAGCGGUGAAAUGCGCAGAUAUCGGGAGGAACACCGGUGGCGAAGGCGGGUCUCUGGGCAGUAACUGACGCUGAGGAGCGAAAGCGUGGGGAGCGAACAGG